UACGGGGGGGGCAAGCGUUGUUCGGAAUUACUGGGCGUAAAGGGCUUGUAGGUGGCCAACUAAGUCAGACGUGAAAUCCCUCGGCUUAACCGGGGAACUGCGUCUGAUACUGGAUGGCUUGAGUGUGGGAGAGGGAUGCGGAAUUCCAGGUGUAGCGGUGAAAUGCGUAGAUAUCUGGAGGAACACCGGUGGCGAAGGCGGUUCUCUGGGAAUGUCCUGACGCUGAGGAGCGAAAGUGUGGGGAGCGAACAGG
rnacentral:rRNA from 1 species